GCUUGUCUCAAAGAUUAAGCCAUGCAUGUGUAAGUAUCAGAAGUCUGAACUUCAAAACUGCGAAUGGCUCAUUAUAUCAGUUAUAGUUUAUUUGAUAGUACCUUACUACUUGGAUAACCGUAGUAAUUCUAGAGCUAAUACAUGCAUAAAUACCCAACUAUGCUUCGGUGUGGACGGGUAGCAUUUAUUAGAUUGAAACCAAUGCAGCUUCGGCUGGUAUUGUGUUGAGUCAUAAUAACUGUGCGGAUCGCAUUUAAUGCGAUAAAUCGAUUGAGUUUCUGCCCUAUCAGCUUU
rnacentral:rRNA from 1 species